AUUGAACGCUGGCGGCAUGCCUUACACAUGCAAGUCGAACGGCAGCACGGGAGCAAUCCUGGUGGCGAGUGGCGAACGGGUGAGUAAUAUAUCGGAACGUGCCCAGUCGUGGGGGAUAACGUAGCGAAAGCUACGCUAAUACCGCAUACGAUCUAUGGAUGAAAGCGGGGGAGUCGCAAGACCUCACGCGAUUGGAGCGGCCGAUAUCAGAUUAGGUAGUUGGUGGGGUAAAAGCCUACCAAGCCUUCGAUCUGUAGCUGGUCUGAGAGGACGACCAGCCACACUGGAACUGAGACACGGUCCAGACUCCUACGGGAGGCAGCAGUGGGGAAUUUUGGACAAUGGGCGCAAGCCUGAUCCAGCAAUGCCGCGUGCAGGAUGAAGGCCUCGGUUGGUAACUAGCUUUGUAU
rnacentral:rRNA from 1 species